GAUUAACGCUGGCGGCGUGCCUAACACAUGCAAGUCGAACGAUGAAACUUAAAUGAUUUCUUCGGAAUGAACUUAAGUGGAUUAGUGGCGGACGGGUGAGUAACGCGUGAGUAACCUGCCUUACACAAGGGGAUAGCCGUUGGAAACGACGAAUAAUACCCUAUGAUGUUUCUAUCUCGCAUGAGAUAUUAACCAAAGUGUUAGCGGUGUAAGAUGGACUUGCGUCUGAUUAGCUAGUUGGUGAGAAAAAAGCCCACCAAGGCAACGAUCAGUAGCCGGCUUGAGAGAGUGUACGGCCACAUUGGGACUGAGACACGGCCCAGACUCCUACGGGAGGCAGCAGUGGGGAAUUUUGCACAAUGGGGGAAACCCUGAUGCAGCGACGCCGCGUGAUUUAGAAGGCCUUCGGGUUGUAAAAAUCUUUUGUAUAGGAAGAAAAUGACAGUACUAUACGAAUAAGGUCCGGCUAAUUACGUG
rnacentral:rRNA from 1 species